UGGAUGUGAAAGCCCCGGGCUUAACUCGGGGAGGUCGUUCAAUACUGCGGGGCUAGAGGGCAGCAGAGGGAGNUGGAAUUCCCGGUGUAGUGGUGAAAUGCGUAGAUAUCGGGAGGAACACCCGUGGCGAAGGCGGCCUCCUGGGCUGACCCUGACGCUGAAUGCGAAAGCUAGGGGAGCGAACGGGAUUAGAUACCCCGGUAGUCCUAGCUGUAAACGAUGGAUGCUGGGUGUGGGGGGUAUAAAUUCCCUCUGUGCCGAAGCUAACGCGUUAAGCAUCCCGCCUGGGGACUACGGCCGCAAGGCUAAAACUCAAACGAAUUGACGGGGGCCCGCACAAGCAGCGGAGCGUGUGGUUUAAUUCGAUGCUACACGAAGAACCUUACCUGGGCUUGACAUGCACGUGGUAGGGAACCGAAAGGGGACCGACCUUCGGGAGCGUGCACAGGUGCUGCAUGGCUGUCGUCAGCUCGUGCCGUGAGGUGUCGGGUUAAGUCUCGUAACGAGCGCAACCCUUGCCCUUAGUUAUACGUGUCUAAGGGGACUGCCCGGGAUAACCGGGAGGAAGGUGGGGAUGACGUCAAGUCAGCAUGGCCUUUAUGUCCAGGGCUACACACACGCUACAAUGGCCGGUACAAUGGGUCGCGAAGCCGUGAGGCGGAGCCAAUCCUGAAAGCCGGUCUCAGUUCGGAUUGUAGGCUGCAACUCGCCUACAUGAAGUUGGAGUUGCUAGUAACCGCAGGUCAGCUAUACUGCGGUGAUACGUUCCCGGGCCUUGUACACACCGCCCGUCACGUCAUGGGAGCUGGCAACACCUGAAGCCGGUGAGCUAACCCGAAAGGGGGCAGCCGUAUAAGUGGGGCUGGUGACUGGGACGAAGUCG
rnacentral:rRNA from 1 species